UUUUCGAGAUUCAGUUGGUCUAUGGUUGUGAUCAAUUUUGAACUAAAACUGGAAUUAUUAAGUAAAAACAAUAUUAUUUGCUAUAAGAAAUGACUAUGAUGACGUAAGAGCUUACAUGGAAAUGAAAAUUGAAGCUUCGAAACCUCGAGAUGAGGCUGCUAUCAGGAUUCGGAAAAAUAUUAAAUUCAAGUUGAAACGCUUGCACCUGACGUUUUGGAGUCUGAUUAAGCUUAUCAAUCCAUUACGUUGGAUACAUCCGUGCCAUCAAUGCUAUGAAAUAUGCAAAUUCUUUUGGAAACAUAGGAUGAGUGUGAAAAAAAUCCGUCAUUUGCGAAGAAUCUCCAUGAUCUUUAGUUAUGAUAGGAUUCACUGGAAUAGAAGGAGGUUAUUGAAACGAAGAAUUCUUGAGAAAUACAAGAUUCUUAUGAAACCCCUUUGGAAAAUGCAAGAAAACAAAAUCCAGUUGAAUGUUAAGAAAACAUUAUCGAAAUAUCACAAGGAGCUAUUGAAUUGCCCGAAGAAUAAUAUACGCCAAAUAAGAGAUGUUGGUAUAUAUUUCGAAAGUAUGUCAGUAAAAUUGCAAUUUAGGGUUUGUUAAUACUCUGUACUACGUAAACGUAGAAAACUGUUUUACUCAAUCAAUGACUGUUAAGAUUGAUUUCAAAGACGUCAUUUUUAUUUUCGGCCGUCAACGUGCAAAAAGUAUAUUUUUCGCAAAACUUCCAAAUCUUCUGUUCAUAUUUCAGCCUUCAACGUUUGUUUUUCCAUGCGGCAAUUUAGAGGCCACAUGGCUAUUAUAUACAUAUAUAAUAUUAUAUGUGAUUUAUUCUUAAAGUCAGUGUUGCCAAGAAAUUUAUCUCUAUAUGAUAAAACGGUCCUCAACAACAUUCGAAUUGUUAUUUUGAAUACAUAUACAUAUAAAUAUUUUUUUCAUUUUAUUUUGAAUCAUUUAUGGUUGUGAUCAAUUUCGAACUAACACUGGAAUUAUUAAAAACUAUACAUACAAAAAAGUCGAUCGAAUUCAUUUCCACUGAAAUAUUGAUUAUUUUUUUACGAUGCUCUUUUUGAUUUUUUUUCUGUUUCUGAUGAUGGGACGUCGACAUAAAAAUACUCAAAAUGGUGAUAAUACAUCUGAAUGCAAAAAUUCCUCUUUUCGAAAGUAUCAAGAAAACAAAAUUUCGAUCAAAAUUUACGGAACCUCUAGUAGAGUUAUCCUCAUUAACGAACUCAACUGCGGCAUUCGCAAUUCAAACCUAGCUCAAAAAAGUCAACUUUUUAGGAACUGAGAUUGAGGAGUUAUUAUAUUCAUGUAAGCUCUAUCAUCAAGGUAUGUAUUUCUUAUAGAAUUGCAAAGCAUUUUCAGUUGAGAACUUGGAUGAUAAAAAUUCAAAGAUUUUAAUAGGCGCUAUACAUGAACAUAUCAUUGAAUCCCAUUCAAUUAACAUUGAAAACUAAAACAGACAAUGAAGUUUCAACUUCAAAUUUGCGUUUUCAAUUGAGUGAAGGAAGCAAAAAAUCUACAGUUUGUUAAUUACUGGAAUAUUUGUUCUAAAAUGUAUGGCACUUUAUGAAGAAGUUAGUUUCGUAAAUGGAGACAUUUAGGUUAGAGGACUUAAUCCAAAUGAAAAACAAGCCCAAUAGACAAGAUUUAACACUGACUAAAGUCGUAAUGGAAUUGUAAAAUUGCCUAAGAAGCUCUGAGCACAUGCAUAGAUGAGCUAAAAUUGAAGAAGAAUCUGAUACUUUGUACAUUUUUUUUUAUUGUUUCUAUUGGCUUGAAAGCUAAUAGUGUUGUUGUUUUUGUCAAAUGAUCAUUAUUUUUUAUUAUUAUAUUUAUGUAUUUCAUUAAUUUAUAUGUAUCAAUAAUGUUGGAUAAAUUGUGGUCAAUUAAUUUUUUUUGAAUUUA